UGGAGGAUGCGAUCCCCAUGGGCAAUUGGUGUCAAACAUCCUGCACGAGACUAAGAGCUAACACACAGCUUGUAUGACUGGCUCUCCCCUCCACAACAGCAUCUACUGAAUUAGAAAGAACAUGGUUGGUUCACAACCAUCCAAGGUACAUCAAGAUCGAAGGGUUGGUCAUGCAAAUUGCAUUCACCUGUAAAUAAUGUCGGGGUUAUGAUGUGUUCGAUAUUGCCAUCCGCCACAUCCAGCAACUUGACCGGGGAUGUACCUAGAUGGUCUCAUCUUCAGGCUAAUUUUGGAAUCUGACUUUGCGAUGCAUGUCCUUGGAAAUGCCAAUCCUUCAGAAAAUGCACCAGUCCGGAACCAGCUCACACUUGGGGGGUCUGAGUCAGAAAUUCAUAGAUGUCGCCAGAUAAUGAUCCAUCUCCGUAGUCCAAGAUCAUGGUGUGCAUACGCGUGGGACAUGAAAAUGCAGAAAACCAGCAUAUUGGGCCCCAUGUCCGCCACGACAUCUGAGGAUGAAACACUUGAGGCAAAUCGCCCCACAAUCGAGAGGCUGCAUGCCGCCCUCGCCAACUGCAUAGAGCUUUUUUUCGACGGAUGGAACCCGGAAUGGGAGAAAUGAAGCAUCUCUGUGGUUAAAAGUGACAGUUUGACAGCCAGCCUAGAGUAGUCUGGGCUCUACACAUUGUUCAACCUCAUCAACUUUGACGGAAAAAAGUUUACUGAUGAACCCACUCCGGAGGCUAUCAACCAGUUCAGAGAACAUGCUAUAUGAAAUGAUGUCCAUCAAGGAGAACAAAGGGAAGGUACCAUCAAUCUUCGUCCACACUAUUGAGGACUAGACACCAAAGACAUUACCCGGCAUACUAAGAUGAUCCUUACUGUGCUGGGGUGGGCUGGAGUUGUUUUGUGUUGUUAGGACUAUCGUGCUGACCUGAAACUGUACGAUGUGUGCUUUGUAAUGUGAGAACCUGUCUCCCGGCCGAAUGAUCUUUUGAACCUACUGCUCCAAUUAUGUUUUAAGCCAAAUUCGGAUCAAGUUGAAUCCGCCAAGCCAUGUGAUGUUUUUAUUAUUUUGAAUGUCUUCAAGGGGAAUCACAUUUUUGUUAUUACAAGAAUGGGCUGAAUACUCAGCGUUUGGAUUA